AUUGAACGCUGGCGGCAGGCCUAACACAUGCAAGUCGAACGGGAACAGGAAGCAGCUUGCUGCUUUGCUGACGAGUGGCGGACGGGUGAGUAAUGUCUGGGAAACUGCCCGAUGGAGGGGGAUAACUACUGGAAACGGUAGCUAAUACCGCAUAACGUCGCAAGACCAAAGAGGGGGACCUUAGGGCCUCUUGCCAUCGGAUGUGCCCAGAUGGGAUUAGCUAGUAGGUGGGGUAACGGCUCACCUAGGCGACGAUCCCUAGCUGGUCUGAGAGGAUGACCAGCCACACUGGAACUGAGACACGGUCCAGACUCCUACGGGAGGCAGCAGUGGGGAAUAUUGCACAAUGGGCGCAAGCCUGAUGCAGCCAUGCCGCGUGUAUGAAGAAGGCCUUCGGGUUGUAAAGUACUUUCAGCGGGGAGGAAGGGAGUAAAGUUAAUACCUUUGCUCAUUGACGUUACCCGCAGAAGAAGCACCGGCUAACUCCGUG
rnacentral:rRNA from 1 species